CCUACGGGAGGCAGCAGUAGGGAAUCUUCCACAAUGGACGAAAGUCUGAUGGAGCAACGCCGCGUGAGUGAAGAAGGGUUUCGGCUCGUAAAGCUCUGUUGGUAGUGAAGAAAGAUAGAGGGAGUAACUGGCCUUGAGUGGACGGUAAGUACGGAGAAAGACACGGCUAACUACGUGCCAGCAGCCGCGGUAAUACGUCGGUGGCAAGCGUUGUCCGGAUUUAUUGGGCGUAAAGCGAGUGCAGGCGGUUCAAUAAGUCUGAGGUGAAAGCCUUCGGCUCAACCGGAGAAUUGCAUCAGAAACUGUUGCCCUUGAGUGCAGAAGAGGCGAGUUGAACUCCCUUUGUCGCGGUUGCAUGCGUAGAUAUCUGGCAGAACCCCAGUGGCGACGGCGGCUCUCUGGUCUGCACCUGACGCUGCGGCUCGACAGCCUGGGUAGCGCACCGGAUUAGAUACCCGAGUAGUC
rnacentral:rRNA from 1 species